ACUCCUCUAUUGCUGCUGCCUCCCAGGCUCUUCCUGGCACAGCACAGCAGGAGAAAACAUGAGCUGAGCAGUGCACUGUCAUGGAGAAAUGGAGCAGGUGUUAAGGUUCUGAAAGAAAGCUGGAGUCACCAAAUAAAUUCUGGUACUAAAACAUAGAAGAAUGCAUACUGGAUCACACAAAAGUGUCCAGGUGAGAAUCGUGUAAAAUUCACGACUUUCAAGCUGCUAUAGAAUUUCUCCAAAUUUCCAGGAAAAUAGGUGAAGAUAAAAGAGAGGGAAGACAAACUGAGAAAGCCUCCUCUUGGCUUUGCUGUGCAUACCUACAAUCUUUCACAGGAAUAUAAGCAGGACUUGCUUCAGAACAGCUGCUUCAGGAUUGUUGAUAUACAUCUGUCUUGCUCCACCAUCAGCUCUGUGAGGCAGCUUGUUCCCCUUUUGCUCCAGAGUUCCUUCGAGUUUCUUGAACUUUCAAACUAUUUACUCCACUUACAUCAGGAAAAAAAAAAUAUGAUUGCGAGGAAGAAAGCUAUGAUGUGAAAAGCUGAAAGAGAUUCCAACUCAUUUUGUUUCUGUGAAGAUCUGAAGUGCUUUUCCUCCUCAUCAUUUAUAUGACUCUCCAUCCCACAUCACUUACUUUUCAAUUAAUAAUUUUUUUCCAAAUCCAUGCUCUUUGGGGAACAGAUUUUUAUUACUUCAGGAAUCCUCUGCUUCUUUU